AUUGAACGCUGGCGGCAUGCCUUACACAUGCAAGUCGAACGGCAGCGGACCUUCGGGUGCCGGCGAGUGGCGAACGGGUGUGUAAUGCAUCGGAACGUACCUUUCAGUGGGGGAUAACGUAGCGAAAGUUACGCUAAUACCGCAUAUUCUGUGAGCAGGAAAGCAGGGGAUCGCAAGACCUUGCGCUGAUUGAGCGGCCGAUAUCAGAUUAGCUAGUUGGUGAGGGAAAGGCUCACCAAGGCGACGAUCUGUAGCGGGUCUGAGAGGAUGAUCCGCCACACUGGAACGGAGACACGGUCCAGACGCCUACGGGAGGCAGCAGUGGGGAAUUUUGGACAAUGGGGGCAACCCUGAUCCAGCCAUGCCGCGUGAGGGAAGAAGGCCUUCGGGUUGUAAAGCUCUUUCGGCCGGGAAGAAAUCGCGCGGGCUAAUACCCUGUGUGGAUGACGGUACCGGAAUAAGAAGCACCGGCUAACUACGUGCCAGCCGCCGCGGUAAUAC
rnacentral:rRNA from 1 species